AAAGUCAAAUAAUACUAUGUAUCUUUGUACAAAACACAGUUAGUACUUAGUCCUACCGGCGUAUUCGAGUUGGGUCCUGUGUUCAAAAAUCUAUCCUAGUUAGGUUCUAGGUUUAUAUGGGGCGUAUACUAGCUGUGUUCUUGGUUUAUGUGGGUAGUUUAUUAGUCGUAUAGUACUGUAAUAGAAAUAUUAAUAUUAAUAAAUGUAAUAGUAUAGACGUUCAGAAAAAUAAAACACAAUGUAUUUAUCCUAAUAUCUACCAGUUUGUAGACGUUUUAAAAAGUAC